UAAACCGAAGGUGUUCAGCGUGACGA
rnacentral:sRNA from 1 species